AUUGAAAACAUCAAACACCAAACAUGCUUUUCAUGCCCAAGUUUAGACAUGAAAGAAAAGUUUGUUGGAAAUAUUUCCCUUUUAGUUAUUUACAGUUACUAGAUUCCUGAAUGGUCUUCCGGUGAGACCAUAUAAAUAUACGACUGUGUUGUGUUCUGGCCAGCCUGUUCUGCUCAGACUUCGUCGACGGCAAUGGACGGACACCUGGGACGGACGGCGAGCUGUCAGAAAUGUCACACCUGCCAUUCAGCGUUCCCGGGCCACUCCCCGCCACAUUGCUCCGGUGUGUUCUCCCGUUAAUGAGGGAGCGUCCGUUAGAGAAUACCGUUAGCAUGUUUAAACAGCGGAACGAACGGAGCCUAGUGCAGCCUGCGGGCGACACAACAACGCCUGUUUCUGUUUGCAGCCUGCACCGCACCGGGAGACCGCUGAUGCCUGCCUGCUUCGUGCAGCCUGCCUCCCUUCCAGCUGCUAGCCUGAGAAAUUAGGAAUACUAGCUGUUUCCAGGACAUUAAAGACAUGCUCCGGUACUUUGGCAAGCCAGCACCCCUAGCAAUUUCUAGCCAAUGACCUUCACCCCCUCGCAUCUGAGUGACAGCAAGAGGUCUGCCCAACGUUAUCUAAUGAGGUUGCAUGGUGUGCCCAAUGGAGGGAGGG